rnacentral:rRNA from 1 species
AUGGUCAAGCUAUUAAGGGCUUACGGUGAAUGCCUUGGCGUCAGGAGGCGAUGAAGGACGUAGUAAGCUGCGAUAAGCCUCGGGGAGCCGCAAACAGGCCUUGAUCCGGGGAUUUCCGAAUGGGGAAACCUGGCCAGGUAAACCCUGGUCAUCUGCCACUGAAUACAUAGGUGGUAGAGGCGAACGAGGGGAAGUGAAACAUCUCAGUACCCUCAGGAAGAGAAAUCAAACGAGAUUCCCUCAGUAGCGGCGAGCGAACGGGGAAGAGCCUAAACCUUGCGGGAGUGAUCCGGCAAGGGGUUGCGGGACCUCAAUGUGGGAUGAGGCGAGAUAGUGGAAAGAUCUGGAAAGAUCUGCCAUAGAAGGUGAUAGCCCCGUACACGAAAUCUCAAGACACUCUAGAGGUAUCCCAAGUACCACGGGACACGAGAAAUCCUGUGGGAAUCCGGGUGGACCAUCAUCCAAGGCUAAAUACUACCUGACGACCGAUAGUGAACUAGUACCGUGAGGGAAAGGUGAAAAGAACCCCGAGAGGGGAGUGAAAUAGAACCUGAAACCGUGAGCCUACAAUCAGUGGAAGCCCUAUGACGUCUUCGGACGUAAAGGGUGACUGCGUGCCUUUUGCAUAAUGAGUCAGCGAGUUACUGUGUGUGGCAAGGUUAAGCCGUUAGGUGAAGCCGUAGCGAAAGCGAGUCUUAAAAGGGCGAUUUAGUCGCACGUAGUAGACCCGAAGCCAGUCGAUCUACCCAUGGCCAGGGUGAAGAGUCGGUAACACGACUUGGAGGCCCGAACCGUUGUAAGUUGCAAAUUGCUCGGAUGAGCUGUGGGUAGGAGUGAAAGGCUAAUCAAGACUGGUGAUAGCUGGUUCUCCCCGAAAUAUAUUUAGGUAUAGCCUUGUGAAUUAAGUGCCGGGGGUAGAGCACUGAAUGGGCUAGGGCCCCUCGCGGGGUACCAAACCCAAUCAAACUUCGAAUACCGGCAACUCUUAUCACAGGAGUCAGACUGUGGGGGAUAAGCUCCAUAGUCGAGAGGGAAACAGCCCAGACCACCAGCUAAGGUCCCUAAAUACAGACUAAGUGGGAAAGGAUGUGGAACUACUUAGACAUCCAGGAGGUUGGCUUAGAAGCAGCCAUCCUUUAAAGAAAGCGUAACAGCUCACUGGCCUAGUGGGGCUGCGCCGAAAAUUUAACGGGGCUCAAGUCUGUUACCGAAGCUGUGGAUUGGCAGGGUACUUGUAUCCUGUUGAUGGUAGGGGAGCUUUCCAGCAACCUGUGAAGGUGGAUCGGAAGGACCACUGGAGGAACUGGAAGUGAUCAUGCUGACAUAAGUAGCGUAAAUGCGGGUGCAAAACCCGCACGCCGAAAACCUAAGGUUUCCUGGGUAAAGCUAAUCUUCCCAGGGUUAGUCGGGUCCUAAGCCGAGGCCGAGAGGCGUAGGUGAUGGAAAACAGGUUAAUAUUCCUGUACCACCUUAUGAGUGUUUGAGCGAAGGGGGGACGAAGAAGGGCAGGCCAUCCGGGUGACGGAUAUCCCGGUUCAAGCCUUUAGGCGGGAGAGGUAGGAAAAUCCGCUUCUCUAUUCAACGCUGAGGGGUUAUGAGGAGGAAAGCCGCAAGGCGGACCGAACUGGUUGAUCCCAUGCUUCCAAGAAAAGCCUCGUAGUGAGCUCGUAGGGUGCUCGUACCGCAAACCGACUCUGGUAGGUAGGUAGAGAAUACUAAGGCGUUUGAGAGAACCCUGGUUAAGGAACUCUGCAAAUUGGCCCCGUAACUUUGGGAUAAGGGGUGCCUCAUUAGGGUCUUAAGCCCGAAGAGGCCGCAGUGAAAUGGGGGAAGCGACUGUUUAGCAAAAACACAGGACUCUGCUAACUCGUAAGAGGAUGUAUAGGGUCUGACUCCUGCCCGGUGCCGGAAGGUUAAGGGGAAGUGUCAUCGGUCUUCGGACUGAGAAGCAGCCAACCGAAGCCCCGGUAAACGGCGGCCGUAACUAUAACGGUCCUAAGGUAGCGAAAUUCCUUGUCGGGUAAGUUCCGACCUGCACGAAUGGAGUAACGAUUUCCCCGCUGUCUCAACCAGGGACUCAGCGAACUUGAAAGGCCAGUGAAGAUGCUGGCUACCCGCGACAAGACGGAAAGACCCCGUGCACCUUUACUAUAACCUGGUAUUGGGUAUUGGACUAAUUUGUGUAGGAUAGGUGGGAGGCUUUGAAACCUGGGCGCUAGUUCAGGUGGAGCCAUCCUUGAAAUACCACCCUGAUUAUUCUGAUGCUCUAACCUUGGCCCGUAAUCCGGGCUAGGGACAGUGCCAGGCGGGUAGUUUGACUGGGGCGGUCGCCUCCCAAAUUGUAACGGAGGCGCGCGAAGGUUCCCUCAGGCUGAUUGGAAACCAGCUGUCGAGUGUAAAGGCAUAAGGGAGCUUAACUGCAAGACCCACAAGUCGAGCAGGUACGAAAGUAGGUCUUAGUGAUCCGGUGGUCCCGUAUGGAAGGGCCAUCGCUCAACGGAUAAAAGGUACGCCGGGGAUAACAGGCUGAUCGCGCCCAAGAGUUCAUAUCGACGGCGCGGUUUGGCACCUCGAUGUCGGCUCAUCACAUCCUGGGGCUGGAGCAGGUCCCAAGGG